ensembl:lncRNA
CAAGCCUCGCCCUCCGUGUUAUAAAGCAAGCAGGUCUCCAGCAAACAGCCCUCCUCCUUAUUUGGUCCACCCGUUGGAGCGGACAAAAAGGGAACCUGCCACAAUUGGGAAGAAGAGCCAUCCUUGAAGCUGCAGAAGUGGGAAUUCAGUUCUGACCACUGGUAGCAAAGACAGGUGUGUUGAACUCGCCCAUCCCCCACUGAAGCAGACAUUGUCACUGCCCCACCCUGGGGUCGCCUGGGGCUUUGGCAGACAAUUCCUGUGCACACUGGCUUUCUCUCUCAGGCACCCGGGUCUGGAUGCCUGAGGGCUUUUUCUGCCACAGUAUUGUGCCGGCCCACCAACAAGACCAACCCCCCAGGACAGCCCUCCAGAGAUGAGGGACAGGAGCUAGUAGACAAAUCCACCAGCCCCCCAACUCCUGGUGGGUCAACUGGAAGUGUGUCCUACACAACCUCUCAGGGGGGCCCCUGCAGGACUGAGGCCCAGUGGCCCUCAGAGGAGACUAACCGUAAAUUGACAGAGACUGUAUCUGAAUUGAAAAAAAGGAUAAGAAGUCAGAAACCGUCCCAGCCCGCUUAUCCCUUCCAUCUCCUCUGCAGCUGCCUUUGGAAUCCGAGUUCAUCUCCUUCUUCUUUUCUAAAGAGCUCUAUUCCAUUGACUUAAAGUAAGCACUUACAAAAAGUUUUUCUGAAUAGAACUAACCGAAAUGUCUUCAUCUCUCUUAGAGUUACAAUGGCCAUUUUCGUCUCCUUUUGAGCUUUGCAACUGGGAAACAAAGAAUCUUUAAAGAGUCAAAGGCUCGACCCCUGGGAGCCCCAACUUUGGGUUUCUGGGCCUGAUCACCCCAGCAACCCUAAGUGGGGUGCCCUCUCUUGACAGUUGACUCAUUGAGUAUUUUAGUCACCUACUGAGUCAGUUAUAAGGGUAGGAGACCUGUGAUUUAUUCUGUGAACUGUCCUGCUGGGGUUGUGUGCCCAGCAUGGGAACUGUUGUGUGACUCUUAUCUUGAUAACCCUCUGGAAGAGGCCAUGAGGGCAAGGUCUGAUCUCUUCUUUUCUUUUCUUUGUCUGUUUUGCUCAUCAUCUCUUCUGUUGUCACCAAGUCGAGGUUAAGUUCAGGCUGGACCUGACCAGAACCUGGACCUUCUGUAAAAUCAAAAACCUGAGGAGUUUCUCUGUGCCUUUAUGAUGCAGUUGGACAGGUAGCUCAACCUAGAAAAUUGCUAACAGAAGAUUAAGAUCAAGAACCGGUUAUACAGGACUGAAUGAACUGAGAAAGAUUAUAAUUUUUUUUAUGACUUUUGUUUGAAAUAUUGUUUUUGACGUGUUGUUUUGUUUUCUCAGAUUUAAGAAAAUCUUUCUCUUAUGCUAACUAUGACUUACAGCAAUUAGUGAAAUUAUACCUUUAUGAGCAAAACUGAAACAUUUAUCUUUUUCUCCCUACCUGAUCCCUCCAGGAUUUGGAAACUCUUUGUGAGUGAGUAUGGUUAUUUCAUGGCAAUAUAGUUAUUUGCAUAAGUUCAAUAAGAAUCUGUUCUCCUUAUAACAGUACAUUUGUUAUCUUACCAAAACUUUGACUGUAAUGUCAUAUUUGAGAGAAACAUACAGACUCAGGUAUGACAAUACUGCCUUUGAGGAAUAAGGUUGACUUUCUGGAAAUAAAGCCACUUGGAAAUAUAGGCCUGGUACCUUGCUUUAUAGAGAGAGAUUUGACAAAUAAAAAUGGCAAGCAAUAGGAUAUAUUGGAGAAUAUGAGGAAGCCAUUUGGUAUAAACCUAAUUCAGCCUGACCUUGUCUUCCAAAAGGGCCUGACUGUGGCCGUUGAGCAUGCAUUGUAUAUCUGCUUUAGAUUUUCCCUAUGGCAAGAACAAAGGCCCUUGAGGUAAAGGUGCAACUUUCCUGCCCCUCCCAACGUUGGCGUCUCCUUAAGGAUUAAGUAUCUUUCCUUAGGCUAGAAACUGAUUGCUGCACUCACCUGUGACCGCCCAGCUCAAGACAAUAGGCUUGCCUCCUGCUACACCCAUCAAGACAGCAGACGCACUACCUGCUGUGUCCAUCAAGUGCUGUGCCGACAGGGCAAUCUUGUGACUAUUGUGGGAGGGACAUUUCAAUCAUAUGUGAAACACCCUGUUUGGGGGUAUAUAACCACUCUGUGCACCCCACUUCUUCGGUGCCUUUUCUUCCUUUGGGAAGAAAGGCCCCGGGCCAUGGUCCUCAGAUUUCAGCUUAGAAUAAACUCACCCAAAUUUUCAUUUACAGAUUGGUUACAGAUUAUUUUCGUGGACAGAUUCCAGCAAUCUUACCUGAGCUCCCAGAACUUAAGGAUCAUGGACUAUAACCUGAAGAAUUUAUUUAUUGAAAGAGACGUCAAAUAAGACUCUAUACAGCCCAGUUGGAAAGGACCAUACCAGAAGGAAAAGAAGACGACAUCUGUUGUAGACAGCUGUCCCAAGACUCCGGACCAGGCUAGAAGCUGAUUGCUGCACUCACCUGUGACCGCCCAGCUCAAGACAAUAGACUUGCCUCCUGCUAUGCCCACCAAGAUAGCAGACCCACUACCUGCUGUGUCCAUCAAGCGCUGUGCUGACAGGGCAAUCUUGUGACUAUUGUGGGAGGGACAUUUCAGUCAUAUGUGAAACACCCUCUUUGAGGGUACAUAACCACCCUGUGUACCCCCACUUCUUUGGAGUGGUCUGUUCCUUUGUGGAAAGACUCUCCUGGGUUAUAAUCCUAAGAUUUAAGCUCAGAAUAAACUCAGCCAAAUUUUCCUUUAUAGAUUGGUUAUGGAUUACUUUCGUCGACAAAGCUUUAUACACAUUAACUGAUUUAAUUCUCACAACAACCCCAUGAGGUGAACACUAUUAUUGUCCUCAUUUUACAGAAGAGGAAACUGGGAGGUUAAAGUACUUUGGCCCAAGUCACACAGCUGGAACAGGCAGAGUCAGGAUUCUAGCCCAGGCAGCCAGGUUCCAGAUUCUCAGAGGGUAGCCUCUGACACAGCCCUGAGCGUGUGAGGAUGUUUGAUAAAUGCUUCCUUGAUUCGGGAGUUACUACAUGCAGAGAAAGGAAAGAAGAUGGUCUGCGUAAUAUCUUCAAAUGUCUGAAGGCUUUGAGCUGUGAACCCCUUUGGAGGUUUGGUGAAGUCCAUGGAGUCUUUCCAGAAUAAUAUUUCUUUUUAAUAGUAUUUCUUUUUAAUAUUUUUAAGUGCAUAAAAGAAAACACUGGAUUACAAAGGAAACCAAUGAUAUUGAAAUCCAUUUAUCAAAAUACUACUAGAAAUUGUGAUACAGCAAUAUAUACAUUCACCCUAUGAGGGGGAUUAUGCACUGGAAUGGGCUUCACAAAUGUGCUAAAUCUUGGUCACGAGACUGUGACAGGAACGGGCUGAGCAGCCCAAAUGGAUGGUUUCAGGAUAGA